AAUUACAGAACUCGUAUAUCUAAUCCAUCAUAGCUAAAAAAGUUAUUAACUUAGUUGAUACUGUGAGGUCCUGAAAAAUAAGCUUAGGGCCAUUGGGCCUUAUUAUUUGGGGCAGCCAGAUCCAUAAGCUUAGAAUGCUUUAGCCAUAGAGGGAAGCCCUUCUUUUCCAAAAGUCAAAGUGUUCAUUUGCUACUUUCNCCUUCUCUCUAAACAGAAACCCUUUUCCCUAAAUAAUUGCUCUGCCUUCUCUCUAAGAUAUCCAAACACUGAACCGUUUAAUUUUUAGUUUGAAGGUGCCUAAACGUUCACAACGGCAAGGGCUUCAAUUUGAACCGAACAAUUUUCUGUUCCGACCGGUUCUGGAAGUUCAACGCGGUGUGGGUACGGUCCUAGGACCUUCUUGACCAGUUUACUAUUAAGCUUUCCAGGUAAGGGGAGCUACUUAUACUUUUAUUUUAUUUGUUGCGAAGUGACUGUUUGAGAAAUCUAAAUUGCUAUAUUUUGGUUCUACACAUCCCGUUUGGUAAGAACUAAUGAAUCUGUUUUGAGUGAUUAUGCAUGUUGAAUUAAAUAUGUGAUAUAUUGUGAGCAUGUGUUGUUACUGUCCUUAAGUGUUUAACUUAGUAUGCGCUGAAUUUGAUUGAAAUGAUGAUCCUGGGAAUGAUUCCUGUUUAUAUAUUGAUUGUGAUGUGCUNUGAAGGAAUUUGAUGAAUCUGAUUGCUGGAAUAAGUUGGGGUGAUACUGAUGGGAAAAAUGGGUUGAGUGUAGCCUCAGAUUCUGUGAGAGGGGAUGUAUAACUUUGGGAAUCAAGGAACUAAAAAUAAUAGGCUAGUUAUAUAACCAGCAAGGAAAUUGGGUUGUGUUGGAUUGAAAAAAAA